rnacentral:rRNA from 1 species
AGAGUUUGAUCCUGGCUCAGGAUGAACGCUAGCUACAGGCUUAACACAUGCAAGUCGAGGGGAAACGACAUCGAAAGCUUGCUUUUGAUGGGCGUCGACCGGCGCACGGGUGAGUAACGCGUAUCCAACCUGCCCACCACUUGGGGAUAACCUUGCGAAAGUAAGACUAAUACCCAAUGAUAUCUCUAGAAGACAUCUGAAAGAGAUUAAAGAUUUAUCGGUGAUGGAUGGGGAUGCGUCUGAUUAGCUUGUUGGCGGGGUAACGGCCCACCAAGGCGACGAUCAGUAGGGGUUCUGAGAGGAAGGUCCCCCACAUUGGAACUGAGACACGGUCCAAACUCCUACGGGAGGCAGCAGUGAGGAAUAUUGGUCAAUGGGCGAGAGCCUGAACCAGCCAAGUAGCGUGCAGGAUGACGGCCCUAUGGGUUGUAAACUGCUUUUAUAAGGGAAUAAAGUUAGUCUCGUGAGACUUUUUGCAUGUACCUUAUGAAUAAGGACCGGCUAAUUCCGUGCCAGCAGCCGCGGUAAUACGGAAGGUCCGGGCGUUAUCCGGAUUUAUUGGGUUUAAAGGGAGCGUAGGCCGGAGAUUAAGCGUGUUGUGAAAUGUAGACGCUCAACGUCUGCACUGCAGCGCGAACUGGUUUCCUUGAGUACGCACAAAGUGGGCGGAAUUCGUGGUGUAGCGGUGAAAUGCUUAGAUAUCACGAAGAACUCCGAUUGCGAAGGCAGCUCACUGGAGCGCAACUGACGCUGAAGCUCGAAAGUGCGGGUAUCGAACAGGAUUAGAUACCCUGGUAGUCCGCACGGUAAACGAUGGAUGCCCGCUGUUGGUCUGAACAGGUCAGCGGCCAAGCGAAAGCAUUAAGCAUCCCACCUGGGGAGUACGCCGGCAACGGUGAAACUCAAAGGAAUUGACGGGGGCCCGCACAAGCGGAGGAACAUGU